GACUCGUUAGCUCAGCAGGUAGAGCACAUCCCUUUUAAGGAUGGGGCCUCGGGUUCGAAUCCCGAACGAGUCA
rnacentral:tRNA from 1 species